rnacentral:rRNA from 1 species
CCUGAGAGGGUGACCGGCCACAUUGGGACUGAGACACGGCCCAAACUCCUACGGGAGGCAGCAGUGGGGAAUAUUGCACAAUGGGGGAAACCCUGAUGCAGCGACGCCGCGUGAGCGAAGAAGUAUUUCGGUAUGUAAAGCUCUAUCAGCAGGGAAGAAAUGACGGUACCUGACUAAGAAGCACCGGCAAAUACGUGCCAGCAGCCGCGGUAAUACGUAUGGUGCAAGCGUUAUCCGGAUUUACUGGGUGUAAAGGGAGCGCAGGCGGUACGGCAAGUCUGAUGUGAAAUCCCGGGGCUCAACCCCGGUACUGCAUUGGAAACUGUCGGACUAGAGUGUCGGAGGGGUAAGUGGAAUUC